GAAGUGGAGACCACAGGUGGCGCUUGAGUUCAAUUCAGAGCCCAAUGGAGCUUUCCCGUCCUCCCGACUUCCCACUCAGCCAUUCACUUUCAAGGCCCUCCUUCUCCAUUCAUCACCGUCAUCUCCUUACUCUAUUGUUCCCUCUCCCCCGUCGCAGACGGACUUCGAAUCCCGGAUCACGAUUCUCGCCUCCCACUUCGUGCGUUGCGGAGGCCGAUGCCUCUGUGCCCAUCGCUAUGACUUCCCCGGAGCAUGCCGGCGGCAAGAUGGUGAUGGAGCUCGUUGGUGCUUUCAACGAGCUGACGGAAAGGAUGAAUGUCUUGUCUACCGGCUCCUCUCGUCUUCUUUUCAAGUCUCUUAAGCUGUCAAUUCCCAUCUUGCAAAGCUUGCCUCUUGCUCCUGAUGGUCGUUCUCCACUUUCCAAGGCCUUGUCUGUGGCCAUGGUUCUCGCUGAUCUGAAGAUGGACGCCGAAGUGAUCUCAGCUGGAAUAUUGAGAGAGGUGUUGGAGGCAGGUGCCGUGUCUAUAACUGCAAUACGAAAUCAGAUUGGUGCUGGUACUGCUCAUCUGUUGCAUGAAAGUUUGCGUGUGAGGAACAUUCCAUCCAGCGUAGGUGUUUUAGAUGAUGAUAAUGCUGCUGCAGUAAGAAAGUUCUGCCUGACUUACUACGACAUUAGGGCUUUAAUUUUAGACUUGGCUUUGAAGCUCGACACAAUGAGACAUCUUGAGUACCUUCCUAGAUAUCAGCAGCAGAUCCAUUCUGUAGAAGUUAUGAAAAUACAUGCCCCUCUAGCUCAUGCAGUAGGAACUAAGUACUUAUCACUGGAAUUGGAAGAUCUCUCAUUUCAGUGUUUGUUUCCUUAUUCUUAUCUUUAUGUGGAUGCAUGGUUACGAAGUCAUGAGACUGGGGGUAGCUCUCUAAUUGAUAUAUAUAAGGACGAGUUGCUGCAAACCUUAGAAGCUGAUGCGUUGCUGGCAGCCAUGGUGGAUGAUAUCUCAGUUAAGGGUCGCUAUAAAAGUCGGUAUAGCACAAUGAAGAAGAUCUUGAAAGAUGGUCGGAAACCAGAACAUGUUAAUGAUGUGCUAGGACUUCGAGUGAUAUUAAAUCCCAGGCCUGGAGAUGAUACACUGAAAGUUGGAGAGCAAGCAUGCUAUAGGACUCACCAAAUCAUCCAAUCUAUGUGGAAAGAAAUACCUUAUCGAACAAAAGAUUAUAUUGCCAAGCCCAAAGAAAACGGGUAUAGGAGUCUACAUAUGGCAGUGGAUGUGAGUGACAAUGGUAGGACCAGACCACUAAUGGAAGUACAAAUAAGAACAACUCAAAUGGACAAUUUAGCUGUUGGUGGACUAGCAUCCCAUUCAUUAUACAAGGGUGGCGUUACUAAUCCAGAAGAGGCAAAACGUUUGAAGACCAUCAUGCUUGCUGCAGCUGAGCUGGCGGCUCUGCGCCUUAGAGAUCUUCCAAGUACAAAUCUGAAGGGAAUAGAGACGGACCAGAGAAAUAGAGUAUUUUCCCUUCUUGACAAAAAUGGUGAUGGUAGAAUUAGCAUUGAGGAACUUACAGAGGUCAUGGAGGAGCUUGGUGCCCCAGGGGAAGAUGCCCGGGAAAUGAUGCUGCUCCUUGAUUCAAACAGUGAUGGCUCUCUGAGCUCUGAUGAAUUCGAUAAAUUCCAAAAACAGGUUGAUAUUGUGCGUGGUUUAGAGGCUCAAGACGAGCAAUACAAGAAAAUGUUGGAUGAGAGGCUUCAUCCUGCGGAUGAAAGCGGUUUGAUUCAGGUGUACAGCAAGGAGUUUGGCAACAGGCUUGCAGGCUAGUGCUGCCUAUGAUUGAGCCACAUAAGACGCUUUAUCUUCUGGGCAUCCUCUCCCCUUCUUCAUGUGGUAAUUUGUGGCCUCGGCUGCUAUUUCUUUUCAAGCUGGGACUUGGAUGAUCUACAAUGAUUGAACCCUCCUAUCCUUAGAAACUGGGAGCGAUCAAUGGCAUUUUCUAAUUUUAUUUUAGGAAAAAGCCGCAUAAUCUUUUUUGGGGCAAUAAAGGCCUACUUGUCGAAAUAUGAAAAACGGUGAUGCUUGGAGAGAGGGAGAGGGAGAGGGAGGAGCUUCAAACUUCAAAUUACCUGCCUAUAUACAGAAGAGUCUCCAAACGAUUUCAUUAACUCUACCACAUGCAAGGAUGCACUUAUUUCAACGACCUGUCAUGUUUGAAAUGGAGAUGGCUUUAUAUGUCAGAAAUUGAACAGAUACUAGUUAUUGAUUAAUAAACAUUGCUUUAACAUGGUUUAGCCGAGUCUAAACAAUCACUACCUCUGCUGCCACCGAGAGGCCACCUAGACUUCUGUGCGCCUUAUUCUCUUGUAUCACUUUCAACUGAAAUAUUGGCAUUAUAAUUAUAUUAACAAUUUAGCUCACGGCUAAUAUUUCGCCUAUUUUUAAGGGUGCUGGAAAUAAUAAUCUUUUCUGUA